rnacentral:tRNA from 1 species
GGGAUCGUAGUCUAGCUUGGUAUGAUUCUGCGUUUGGGACGCAGGGGUCGCAGGUUCAAAUCCUGCCGGUCCCA